GAGGAAUCCACCAUGGCGGACAUGCAGACGCGGAACACGGCGUGCGUGCGCAGCAUGAGGAACUCUUCCUUCUCCACCACCUUCCCUUUGAACCCUCCUCGAGGCGCUCUGCCCUCCAGGUAAAGAGCACAUUUUCCGAGCUGCUCGGCGUCCUCCGCCUCCAAAGACUCCCGGAUGACGCCGAAGUUGGCGCACCGGAGAGCCCAUCUCUUCUCACAGAACUUGGCGACCGCGACAGCUGUCAUCAAGGCUGCACCCAGCGAGAAGAGGAUCCCACCGCCGGCGAUAUGGUUGUAGAUGACGUACCCUGCUCCCAGCACCUGCACCACGAGAGUCAGCAGGUGGCGCUUCCACAGCUUGUUGUCCUCGAGGGAGUAGGCCGUGAUGUUGUCAGGGCCAGCGAGGUGCAGCAGCAGGAAGGGCGCCCAGAAGGCGACCAGCCGGUGCUGCCGCAGGGUGCUAAUGAGGGAGAGGGUGCCGAGGGCGUAAAUGGCGGUGCUGUCCGCCAACUGGUAUGCCAGCCAGAGGAAGAGCCUCUUGAGGCUGCGGCCUUGCUGCCGGCGGAUCCCGGAGAAGAAGAGGAGGGCCACCUGCUGCGUGAGGCUCAGGAUUACGAGGAUCUCCGUUGCCCAUGCGUUCCAGAAGUCCAGCAGCCGUCCGGCGGCGACUCUUGGCUCCACCACUGGUUUGAUCCAUCAAGUAAGCCAUGCAUCAAAUAAAUAGAGCAACGUCUCAAAUAAACUGUUGACUAGAAUUAACAAUGCAUACACUAUAUACGUACAGCGGGUAUCCCCUAGUUGAUGAGGACCGAAAUUAGCCAUGCAUGUACCCGGCGGCAGUGGCAGCAGAAACAGAAACGAAGAUCACCCAGGCUGGAUCGCUGCUUGCUUACAGCAACUGUUAAGCCAACUAAUCGAGCACAUAUAUACAACAACAACAAUCAGAAGCAUGUGACGGCGAGAUGUGGAUGCACAGAGUACAAAUACAUGCUAUGCUGUCACACCAAACCGUAUAAUGAACAUGGAGAAAUUAAGUAUUAGCGUUUUGUUGAUGCUUGGCCGUCAGUGCACAUGGUCCAUUGAAUUUGCUAACCAUAUGAUAUUCAUCCACCAAUAAAAAAGUGCUCUGUAC
rnacentral:misc_RNA from 1 species